AAAAUCUUACAUUCUUAUAAACAUUAUAAUUUAUUUUACUGUUUAAGAAAUAAUUUAGAAUUUCUAAUACUCAUAUACUCUUAUUAUAGCCCAGAAACUUGUCUCCUUGGAAACUUGCCUAACACAGAAAUUUACAGAUGCAUAGAAAAGUAUCCUAAUGUAGUUGAAAUUCCAGGAAUAAAGAUUUUCCACUUUGGAGCUUCCAUUUAUUUUGGAAAUAGGGAAUAUUUUC